AUCCAGCUGACGAGUCCCAAAUAGGACGAAAUGCGUAUCCUGAAU
rnacentral:hammerhead_ribozyme from 1 species